GUAGGUUGGAGAGGUGUUCUCUCGGUGUUACUAAAAAUUGAUAUUAUCGUUUGGUAGGGCGUGGACGACAACGAUGAAUCUUGUUUGAUUAUGGCUGGAAGUAUCAAGAAGUUGCAAGUCUAGGGUGCUAUUAUCAGUUUGAGUUUUUAUAAUCUUUUUUUUUAGUUGUAGUUUAGGCUUGGUUCUAUUUCUUGAGUUGUUCC
rnacentral:lncRNA from 1 species